rnacentral:rRNA from 1 species
GACGAACGCUGGCGGCGUGCCUAAUACAUGCAAGUUGAGCGCUGAAGGUUGGUACUUGUACCAACUGGAUGAGCAGCGAACGGGUGAGUAACGCGUGGGGAAUCUGCCUUUGAGCGGGGGACAACAUUGGGAAACGAAUGCUAAUACCGCAUAAAAACUUUAAACACAAGUUUUAAGUUUGAAAGAUGCAAUUGCAUCACUCAAAGAUGAUCCCGCGUUGUAUUAGCUAGUUGGUGAGGUAAAGGCUCAACAAGGCGAUGAUACAUAGCCGACCUGAGAGGGUGGUCGGCCACAUUGGGACUGAGACACGGCCCAAACUCCUACGGGAGGCAGCAGUAGGGAAUCUUCGGCAAUAGACGAAAGUCUGACCGAGCAACGCCGCGUGAGUGAAGAAGGGUUUCGGAUCGUAAAACUCGGUUGGUAGAGAAGAACGUUGGUGAGAGUGGAAAGCUCAUCAAGUGACGGUAACUAACCAGAAAGGGACGGCUAACUACGUG